rnacentral:rRNA from 1 species
GUGGGGAAUAUUGGACAAUGGGCGCAAGCCUGAUCCAGCAAUGCCGCGUGGGUGAAGAAGGUCUUCGGAUCGUAAAGCCCUUUCGACAGGGACGAUGAUGACGGUACCUGUAGAAGAAGCCCCGGCUAACUUCGUGCCAGCAGCCGCGGUAAUACGAAGGGGGCUAGCGUUACUCGGAAUUACUGGGCGUAAAGGGCGCGUAGGCGGCUCUGUUAGUCAGGCGUGAAAUUCCUGGGCUUAACCUGGGGACUGCGCUUGAUACUGCAGGGCUUGAGGCCGAGAGAGGGUGGUGGAAUUCCCAGUGUAGAGGUGAAAUUCGUAGAUAUUGGGAAGAACACCGGUGUCGAAGGCGACCACCUGGCUCGGUUCUGACGCUGAGGCGCGACAGCGUGGGGAGCAAACAGGAUUAGAAACCCCUGUAGUCC